rnacentral:rRNA from 1 species
AGUGAACGCUGGCGGUAGGCCUAACACAUGCAAGUCGAACGGCCGCACAGUAAGAUCUUGCUCUUACGGGUGGCGAGUGGCGGACGGGUGAGGCAUACAUCGGAAUCUACUUUUUCGUGGGGGAUAACGUAGGGAAACUUACGCUAAUACCUCAUACGACCUACGGGUUAAAGCAGGGGAUCUUCGGACCUUGCGCGAUUGUAUGAGCCGAUGUCGGAUUAGCUAGUUGGCGGGGUAAAGGCCCACCAAGGCGACGAUCCGUAGCUGGUCUGAGAGGAUGAUCAGCCACACUGGAACUGAGACACGGUCAAGACUCCUACGGGAGGCAGCAGUGGGGAAUAUUGGACAAUGGGCGCAAGCCUGAUCCAGCCAUACCGCGUGGGUGAAGAAGGCCUUCGGGUUGUAAAGCCCUUUUGUUGGGAAAGAAAAGCAGCAGGUUAAUACCCCGCUGUUCUGACGGUACCCAAAGAGUAAGCACCGGCUAACUUCGUG